rnacentral:lncRNA from 1 species
UUUCAAGCCAAACGCUCUCCUUUUACGGCUCCGAGGCCGCACUGGGCUCAUUUGCGGAAGAAUUCACAGCUGAGUUGAAAGCCUUGAUCAAGUAAUUGAAGUUCAGGCAUAAAGUAUCAAAGCGGCGCGAGAACUUUCGCUCCGCGCCGGCUCGCGCUGCCUCCCGCGCCCCAGCCCCUGCCGAGGCGGCGGGGCCGCGGGCUUUGAUGGCGGCCGCAACUCCUCCGAGUCAUGAAUGUUUCAGCGCGCGGCGCGCGAGGUGAGGGCCGCGCGUCCAGGUGUAAGCUAGCAGGUUGUCGCCGACAUCUGUUUGCAGCAGCGGCAGCGGCCUCCCCAGGCCGCGGCGAGCGGCCGGAUUGUCAGCGGAGGUAGUUGAGAGCGGCAGAAGCGUUUUGGUCUCACGCUCGCUGCCUGGAGGCCUGAAACACCAAAGAGUGAGAGAAGCAGAAAGACAAAGAAAGAAGAAAGCGCAGCGCAAGUUUUGGAGUUGUUCCACAAACCAAUUAAAUCUCCGAGGAGCUUCUUGGCUGGAACCGAGGUUAUGUUAACCUUCAGACCGCGAUCCCUCCUUCACCAGUGAGCAGACAUAAACUUAUAUUCUGCAAUAGAAGAAUCCUGGGGUUGGUAACGCCCGUGAAGUACAUCUACUAUUUGUUUUUAAACGUUUAUCAUAGGGCUUCUUGUUACAUGGAGGUGAAAUGGAAUUGCAUUUUUUUCCCAGAUGAAUGUGAUUUUUUUUAGUAAAACAAAAUUUAGAAAAUUGCAUUGACUUCAGUUUUCUUCGUAUUUAUAAAGGCUUCAGUACCUGCAGUUGGAUGUUAAAAAUAAAAUUUUAAGUCGAAAGUAAGAAUUACACGUUCCUUUAACAUUUUCCUCUUUUGAGCGGGCUCCCCCUCUACCACCUAGAUUCAGCCAGGAAAAAAAUUCAGGAAUGUGAAUAAUUUUCACUAGAAAUAUUACGAAAACCUAAUUGUGCGCACAAUCACAUAUGUGUGACAUAAUAGAAUUGGUUACAAUAUUAGCCUGACAAGUAAAGCUCCAGGGCAUGGUAAAAUAAUAGUCCAGAGUAAUGUAAACUAUUAUCAUUAAUAAAAUUUAGGCUCCCUACCCUGAGGAAGUGUCUGCAGGACCACUGUGAGAUAAAGGAAGGGUACCUUCUUAAAGGCAUCCUUCUGAAUGGGAGUAGGGAGGGAGCAAUGGCCUGGGGAGAGAUGCUAGUGUGUGGCAACGUUUUCAUCAGUCAGUGGUGAAGUAAGCAACAUAAGUGCAUAGUGAGUUCCAAAUUAAGUUAAAUUUACGUUGAGAAGACUUUUGUUGUGCAGAUAUAAUUUUCAUUUGUUUUUGAAAUAAAGUCUAUUCUGAUAGAAUUCAAUGCCAGUUCUCCCAUCUUUUAAAAAAUCUGAGAACAUAGGUUCAUUUCAAAGGCACCAGAGAAGCCUCAGUGGCACAUGAUUCAGGCUAGAACGCCGGUUCACAUCUCUAGUUCUGGAUUUAUGCUCACUCCUCUGCCAGUCCUGCUUCUCAGUUCUCAUGCUCAAGACAAACUGGCCUCACCAUCUUCAUUGGCGGCCUCUUCAAAGAUUCUAACCCUCCCAAGGAUCGCUCUGAACUCCCUUGUGCUUUCAAGUCAUCUUCACUAUUAAACCACUCCAUCUCCGGACUGGAGAAGCAUCUUGAUAGCAGAGAUUUUGUGCCACGCUGCCUUCAAGUUCCCCAUCGCAUUUGCAAAAUGUAAACCACUGUGGGUGUUUCUGAGCAGAUUGAAACCGUCACUUAAAUGAUUCGAGAUUUCAAACGUUUUUAGUGCUUAGCAUUAUGCUGCUAAUGACUGCAUUCUUAAACUUAAUUUUUAGAUUCCAUAUUGAUCUUUUGUGUCAUAUAGCCAGAGUUUAGAAUAAAUUUUAAGAACUGUAAGAAAACCCUUUAUUUUAGCCUAAUCGAGUCAGUCCUAUUGUACACAAAAUGCACAUGGUCCCUUCAAAUCUUUCCUUUUUUUAAUACUUUAGAGAAAAAUAUCAAUAUGUUUUAAAACUGAAAAUUGAUUCCUUACGUUUUAUUUCUGCAAGAUCUGAAAUUUUACGUGAUCCUUUAGGCCAAUUACCAUGUGACAUCACUGGGAAAGAGUACCACUAGACUUUCCCGUUACCCUUUGUGUCAUUACUAGUACCUUUCCUUCUUAGUAUCGCUUGUCUUCAUAUUUCAGGGCAGCCUUAAAAUACCUUAAAUAUCCAGUUUAAAUUAGUAGAAGCAAUUAACUUUGUACAUAUUUGGAAGAUAAAUUUUUACUAGAACACACAUGUCAUGAACAUGCCAUUAUUACUACAAUCCUGCUGACUGAUUUGUGAGUGUGUGUAUAGGUAUAGAUGUGUGUAUGCUAUGUUUACUAUAAAUAUAAAUGUAUGUGUAUUCCUGUAGAACAUGUUUUCUC